AAAGUCUCAGGGCUAAAAGAAACAAUGUGCAUGCGUGUGUGUAAUCAUGCAAUGGAUAUCAGAAAAAAGCAAACGCAAGUUCUAGAUGAUAAAAACGUACAUAAAUGUUCUUUCUUAUGAUGAAUAUUGUAAUUCGCUUUUUUUAUCCUCACUAUGUUGGUAAGAGCUAACAUUAUCCAUAAUACCUUUUGUGCGAUUCAUCUUCGCACUCAGUUACAAUAAGUUUGCACCCCUUCCAGUAGAACUCC
rnacentral:lncRNA from 1 species